rnacentral:tRNA from 1 species
GAGAUAUUAGUAAAAAAAUUACAUAACUUUGUCAAAGUUAGAUUACAGAAAUAUAAUUCUGUAUAUCUCU